rnacentral:tRNA from 1 species
GGGGAUUUAGCUCAGCGGUAGAGCGCUUGCCUAGCAAGCACAAAGCCCUGGGUUCGGUCCCCAGCUCCG